rnacentral:tRNA from 1 species
AUUUAAGUAGCUUAAAUACUAAAGCAUUUGUUUUACACAUAAAAGUUAGCCAAAAGGCUCUUAGAUA